GCAGCUGUGGCCGAGUGGUUAAGGCGAUGGACUAGAAAUCUAUUGGGGUCUCCCCGCGUAGGUUCGAAUCCUACCAGCUGCG
rnacentral:tRNA from 1 species